AUAUUCGCAAGUGACCCAGUAAUACAAUGUUGGAAAACUAAAUGAAGCUGAACAGGUCGUCAUUUUGUAGAAGACUAGAGAACAGGGGCACACUACAUUGUAGCACUAUCGACCACAUUAAGUGAUGAUCCAAAUAAUGUAACCCAAUCAAUCGAUAUCUGACAAGAAACUAAAAAUGAAACCACAUGCUAGGCAGUGAAUAGAAGUGAAAGUGUGAAAAGUGUGUGCAACCACCAUACAACCUGAGAUGCUACAAGAACUACUACACAUACAUGCGAAGUGUGGAGCAACCCGGAGGAGAGUUAAGCAGAGACAUCCGAGUAACUUCUCCAUUACUCAGCAACGUUGGUGAGUUUGCAUGUGUUAGGUUACGGGUAUUUCCCUGGGACUCCUCCAUCCCGUGGCGUGGCGGUAACACUGUUACACGAAUCUACG